CCUACGGGAGGCAGCAGUGAGGAAUAUUGGUCAAUGGGCGGGAGCCUGAACCAGCCAAGCCGCGUGAGGGAAGAAGGUACAGCGUAUCGUAAACCUCUUUUGUCAGGGAACAAAGGCGGGGACUAGUCCCCGGAUGAGGGUACCUGAAGAAAAAGCACCGGCUAACUACGUGCCAGCAGCCGCGGUAAUACGUAGGGUGCGAGCGUUAAUCGGAAUUACUGGGCGUAAAGGGUGUGCAGGCGGCUGAGUAAGACAGAUGUGAAAUCCCCGGGCUUAACCUGGGAACCGCAUAUGUGACUGCUUGGCUAGAGUGCGUCAGAGGGAGGUGGAAUUCCACGUGUAGCAGUGAAAUGCGUAGAUAUGUGGAAGAACACCGAUGGCGAAGGCAGCCUCCUGGGACGCAACUGACGCUCAUACACGAAAGCGUGGGGAGCAAACAGGAUUAGAUACCCUUGUAGUC
rnacentral:rRNA from 1 species